UACGAAGGGGGCUAGCGUUGCUCGGAAUCGCUGGGCGUAAAGCGCACGUAGGCGGAUUGCUAAGUCAGGGGUGAAAUCCUGGAGCUCAACUCCAGAACUGCCUUUGAUACUGGCGACCUUGAGUCCGGGAGAGGUGAGUGGAACUGCGAGUGUAGAGGUGAAAUUCGUAGAUAUUCGCAAGAACACCAGUGGCGAAGGCGGCUCACUGGCCCGAUACUGACGCUGAGGUGCGAAAGCGUGGGGAGCAAACAGG
rnacentral:rRNA from 1 species